rnacentral:lncRNA from 1 species
CCUGGCUUCAGGGUGCAGCCCCCUCCCCCUCAGCACUGUCUACCCCCCUCAGUACUCUCUAUCCCCCCUCAGUACUCUCCCCCCAAGUACUGCCUAUCCCCCCUCAGUAACUCUCUAUCCCCCCAGUACUGUCUAUCCCCCCCAGUACUGUCUAUCCCCCCCAGUACUGUCUAUCCCCCCUCAGUACUCUCUACCCCCCUCAGUACUGUCUAUCCCCCUCAGUACUAUCUAUCCCCCCCAGUACUAUCCCCCCCAGUACUCUCUAUCCCCCCCAGUACUGUCUAUCCCCCUCAGUACUCUCUAUCCCCCCAGUACUCUCUACCCCCCUCAGUAAUCUCUAUCCCCCCCCAGUACUGUCUAUCUCCCCAAUACUGUCUAUCCCCCCAGUACUCUCUACCCCCCUCAGUACUGUCUAUCCCCCUCAGUACUAUCUAUCUCCCCAGUACUCUCUAUCUCCCCUCAGUACUCUCUACCCCCCCAGUACUGUCUAUCCCCCUCAGUACUCUCUACCCCCCCAGUACUAUCCCCCCCAGUACUGUCUAUCCCCCCUCAGUACUCUCUAUCCCCCUCCGUACUCUCUAUCCCCCCCAGUACUCUCUAUCCCCCCCAGUACUGUCUAUCCCCCCCAGUACUCUCUAUCCCCCUCCGUACUCUCUAUCCCCCCCGUACUCUCUAUCCCCCCCAGUACUGUCUAUCCCCCCAGUACUGUCUAUCCCCCCUCAGUACUCUCUACCCCCCUCAGUACUCUCUAUCCCCCCCAGUACUCUCUACCCCCCUCAGUACUCUCUACCCCCCUCAGUACUCUCUACCCCCCCAGUACUCUCUAUCCCCCCCAGUUACUGUCUAUCCCCCCCAGUACUCUCUAUCUCCCCUCAGUACUCUCUAUCCCCCUCAGUACUCUCUACCCCCCUCAGUACUGUCUAUCCCCCCCAGUACUGUCUAUCCCCCCCAGUACUGUCUAUCCCCCCCCAGUACUCUCUAUCCCCCCCCAGUACUCUCUAUCCCCCCCAGUACUCUCUAUCCCCCUCAGUACUAUCUAUCCCCCCCAGUACUCUCUAUCCCCCCUCAGUACUCUCUACCCCCCUCAGUACUCUCUAUCCCCUCUCCUGCUUUUUUCUUAACAUCUAUCACCACCCAAAAUGCCAUGUAUUUGAGCAUAUCUUUUGUCUGUCUCUCUUAUCAAAACGUAAACUCCAUGGGGACAGGGACUUUUGUCUGCUUUAUUCUCUGUACCUACAGCAAAACCUGGGUUAUAGGACUCAAGAGACACUAAAUGCAUGA